rnacentral:rRNA from 1 species
UACGGAGGGUGCGAGCGUUGUCCGGAAUCAUUGGGCGUAAAGGGCGCGUAGGUGGCGGGACAAGCGUGCGGUGAAAGCCUGGGGCUCAACCCCGGGUCGGCCGUGCGAACUGUUUUGCUUGAGCACUGUAGAGGCAGGCGGAAUUCCGGGUGUAGCGGUGGAAUGCGUAGAGAUCCGGAAGAACACCGGUGGCGAAGGCGGCCUGCUGGGCAGUAGCUGACACUGGGGCGCGACAGCGUGGGGAGCAAACAGG